CCGCGUGAGGGAUGACUGCCUAUGGGUUGUAAACCUCUUUUUUCAGGGAGGAAUCAAAUGACGUGUACCUGAAGAAUAAGCAUCGGCUAACUCCGUGCCAGCAGCCGCGG
rnacentral:rRNA from 1 species